CCUACGGGAGGCAGCAGUGGGGAAUAUUGCACAAUGGGCGAAAGCCUGAUGCAGCAACGCCGCGUGAGCGAUGAAGGCCUUCUGGUCGUAAAGCUCUGUCCUCAAGGAAGAUAAUUACGGUACUUGAGGAUGACUCCCCGGCUACCUCCGUUCCAGCAGCCGCGGUACUACGUCGGGGGCUAGCGUUAUCCGGAAUUCCUGGGCGUAAGGGGUGCGUAGGUGGUUUCUUAAGUCAGAGGGGAAAGGCUACGGCUAAACCGUAGUAAGCCGUUGAAACUGGGGAACUUGAGUGCAGGAGAGGAGAGUGGAAUUCCUAGUGUAGCGGUGAAAUGCGUAGAUAUUAGGAGGAACACCAGUUGCGAAGGCGGCUCUCUGGACUGUAACUGACACUGAGGCACGAAAGCGUGGGGAGCAAACAGGAUUAGAUACCCUUGUAGUC
rnacentral:rRNA from 1 species